AUUGAACGCUGGCGGCAGGCCUAACACAUGCAAGUCGAGCGGAGCGGCGGACGGGUGAGUGAUGCCUAGGAAUCUGCCUGGCAGCGGGGGAUAACGUCCGGAAACGGGCGGUAAUACCGCCUACUCUCACAUGAGACUGGGUCGGAUUAGCUAGCUGGUGGGGUAAAGGCCUACCAAGGCGACGAUCCGUACCUGGUCUGAGAGGAUGAUCAGUCACACUGGAACUGAGACACGGUCCAGACUCCUACGGGAGGCAGCAGUGGGGAAUAGUGGACAAUGGGCGCAAGCCUGAUGCAGCCAUGCCGCGUGUGUGAAGAAGGUCUUCGGAUUGUAAAGCACUUUAAGCUGGGAGGCGUUACCAGCAGAAGAAGCACCGGCUAACUUCGUGCCAGCAGCCGCGGUAAUUC
rnacentral:rRNA from 1 species